rnacentral:rRNA from 1 species
AUACGGAGGGUGCAAGCGUUAUCCGGAAUCACUGGGUUUAAAGGGUGCGUAGGCGGCCAUAUUAGUCAGUAGUGAAAGGUUGCAGCUUAACUGUAAGACUGCUAUUGAAACUGUAUGGCUUGAAUUAGGAUGAGGUAGGCGGAAUGUGACAUGUAGCGGUGAAAUGCUUAGAUAUGUCAUAGAACACCGAUUGCGUAGGCAGCUUACUAGACCUAUAUUAACGCUGAGGCACGAAAGCGUGGGGAGCGAACAGGAUUAGAGACCCUAGUAGUCC